UACGGAGGGUGCAAGCGUUAUCCGGAUUCACUGGGUUUAAAGGGUGCGUAGGUGGGUUGGUAAGUCCGUGGUGAAAUCCCCAAGCUUAACUUGGGAACUGCCGUGGAUACUAUCAAUCUUGAAUAUCGUUGAGGUUAGCGGAAUAUGUCAUGUAGCGGUGAAAUGCUUAGAUAUGACAUAGAACACCGAUAGCGGAGGCAGCUAACUAAGCGAUCAUUGACACUGAGGCACGAAAGCGUGGGGAGCAAACAGG
rnacentral:rRNA from 1 species